AAUGAACGCUGGCGGCGUGCCUAACACAUGCAAGUCGAACGAGCGAAGAGAAGCUUGCUUCUCCGAGCGAGUGGCAGACGGGUGAGUAACGCGUGGGCAAUCUACCAUUCAGUGGGGAAUACCAUCUCGAAAGGGGUGUUAAUACCGCAUGAUAUGUUCGGAACUUCGGUUCUGAAUCUCAAAGCUGGGGACCUUCGGGCCUGGUGCUGAAUGAGGAGCUCGCGUCAGAUUAGUUAGUUGGUGGGGUAAUGGCCUACCAAGACAUCGAUCUGUAGCCGGCCUGAGAGGGUGAUCGGCCACACUGGAACUGAGACACGGUCCAG
rnacentral:rRNA from 1 species